rnacentral:rRNA from 1 species
CAGCCGCCGCGGUAAUACCGGCGGCCCGAGUGGCGGUCACUCUUAUUGGGCUUAAAGCGUCCGUAGCCGGGUUGGGAAGUCCUCCGGGAAAUCUGGCCGCUUAACGGUCAGAAUGCCGGAGGAUACUCCCAGCCUAGGGAGCGGGCGAGGCCGAGGGUAUUCCCGGAGUAGGGGUGAAAUCCUAUAAUCCCGGGAGGACCACCUGUGGCGAAGGCGCUCGGCUGGAACGCGUCCGACGGUGAGGGACGAAGGCCAGGGGAGCAAACCGGAUUAGAUACCCGGGUAGUCCUGGCUGUAAACGAUGCGGACUUUGUGUCGGACAAGCUAUGAGCUUGUCCGGUGCCGGAGGGAAACCGUUAAGUCCGCCGCCUGGGGAGUACGGCCGCAAGGCUGAAACUUAAAGGAAUUGGCGGG